rnacentral:misc_RNA from 1 species
GAUGAAGAACGUAGCGAAAUGCGAUACGUAAUGUGAAUUGCAGAAUUCAGUGAAUCAUCGAGUCUUUGAACGCACAUUGCGCCCCCUGGUAUUCCGGGGGGCAUGCCUGUCCGAGCGUCAUUGCUGCCCUCAAGCACGGCUUGUGUGUUGGGCCUCCGCCCCCCGGCUCCCGGGGGGCGGGCCCGAAAGGCAGCGGCGGCACCGCGUCCGGUCCUCGAGCGUAUGGGGCUUCGUCACCCGCUCCGUAGGCCCGGCCGGCGCCCGCCGGCGACCCCCCUCAAUCUUUCCAGGUUGACCUCGGAUCAGGUAGGGAUACCGCUGAACUUAAGCAUAUCAAUAAGCGGAGGA